rnacentral:lncRNA from 1 species
UUUGUGUGUGGGUUCCAUAAGAGGACCAUGUAUGUACAUUUUGUGAUCAUGUGGGACAUGUUUCAUGUAUAUUGGUUAAAUCAAGGUUGCAAUUGGAAAUUUGUAUUAUGCUAUGAUUGUUGAUAUAUGUGUUGGUCUGUAUUAUUAUUAUGUAGUUAGUUGUGUACAUUCACAUUUUGAAACUGGUCAUAUGAUCCUACUAGUACACUGUGUUUGUAUACUGAUACUGCACUUGCUCUUUUCUUGUUCAAUAUAGGGCAUAUUCCAGCGGCUGCUACAAAACCUUAGUUAAAGGACGGUUGACCAUCUACUCCAAGGGUGAGCUACUCUUUAAUUUGAGCUGCCAUGAAUUUUUCUCCACUUCUUUGUCCAUAUUUUCAAACACAAAAUUUUUAGAUUUCUAGGUUGAUGUUUUCUAGUUUUUGGGGUUGCAUCCCCAUUCUUGACUAUUUAGAGUUUUGGCACCAUGACCUUCAGGUUCUAGGGAAUUUAAUUCCGCAUUGAUUUAUUUAAUUGGCUGAGUUUAUGGGAACUCAACCUUGUAGUUGUUUUCAAACCGUUUUCCUAGCACUUUAUAUCGUGACUUUGUUUCUUAAAAUGGUUUGAUGAGUUUGGAUUGAUAGUUGGUUCUCCCGUCGGAGGGUUGUGUGGGUCCCACUCACGGCGGGUCAGG